rnacentral:rRNA from 1 species
UACGUAGGGAGCAAGCGUUGUCCGGAAUCAUUGGGCGUAAAGCGCGCGUAGGUGGCUCCGUAAGUCCGUUGUGAAAGUCAAAGGCUCAACCUUUGAAAGCCGAUGGAUACUGUGAAGCUAGAGUACGGAAGAGGCGAGUGGAAUUCCCGGUGUAGCGGUGAAAUGCGCAGAUAUCGGGAGGAACACCUAUGGCGAAGGCAGCUCGCUGGGACGUUACUGACGCUGGAGACGCGAAAGCGUGGGGAGCAAACAGG